CCGAGUGUGCAGCUGCAUUCGGAAAACUGUAAUAUGCCGCUCAAUAGCAAUGGCCAACAAAUUGGCUACAGAGGCUGUCAGACUAGUAUCAAUGAGACCCUGACGGAGAAGCCAGAUGCCUGCUGCCCAUAUAUAAUGAUUCCUGCUCCAGUGUUGCUCCUUUGGAAAGAGGCCUGCUACACCUGGAAGAACACAUAUUUUUAGUUCAGAAAUUUUAAAUGUGGGAAAGAAGAGCACAAGAAGAGACAGUUUUCUGGCAAAAGUUCAAAAAGGGGACUUCCAGAUGAUCAGCUUUCUCGGAUGCCAGCAUAUAUCAUAACGGAAGGUUUUGACCUCCCAGGUCACAAACAUAAAAAUCCCAAGGCAUCACAUUUAGCCAUGAUGCUGACUGGAAAGGCUCCAACAAGAGGCAAAUGCAAUGUAUCUCUCAGUACUGAAAGUGUUAACAUACCAAAAAGACAUAUGCAAGCAGGCAGCUCCA